rnacentral:rRNA from 1 species
UACGGAGGGUGCGAGCGUUGUUCGGAAUCACUGGGCGUAAAGCGCGUGUAGGCGGCCUUGUAAGUCUGGUGUGAAAGCCCGGGGCUCACCCCCGGAAUUGCGCUGGAAACUGCAAGGCUAGAGUACCGGAUAGGAAGGUGGAAUUCCUGGUGUAGCGGUGAAAUGCGUAGAUAUCAGGAGGAACACCGGUGGCGAAGGCGGCCUUCUGGACGGCUACUGACGCUGAGACGCGAAAGCGUGGGGAGCAAACAGG